rnacentral:lncRNA from 1 species
AUCAAAUCCUAAAUCUUAAAUCAAAUCCUAAUCAAAUCUUAAAUCCUAAACUCUAAUCAAAUCUUAAAUCUUGAACCAUAUCCUAAAUAAAUCUUAAACUUUAAAUGAAAUUCUAAACCAAAUCCUAAUCAAAUCCUAAACCAAACUCUAAUCAAAUCAUAAAUCUUGAACCAAAUCCUAAACUUUGAACUAAAUCCUAAACUUUAAACCAAAUCCUAAAUCAAAUCCUAAUCAAAAUCCUAAAUCCUAAACUAAAUCCUAACCAAAUUCUAACAAAAUUCUAAACUUUAAAUCAAAUCCUAUCCAAAUCCUAACCAAA